rnacentral:tRNA from 1 species
CGCGGGGUGGAGCAGUGGUAGCUCGUCGGGCUCAUAACCCGAAGGUCGCAGGUUCAAGUCCUGUCCCCGCAACCA